AAACAGUGCAACCGUUUUAGUUUAACUUCCUGUCGUAACGUGUUCAUGACUUCGUUUCAGAAGCAGUUUGUUGUUGUGACUGAACCAUCGCUGGCAUCCUCGUGUUUCAAACAGUUUGGAACACUGUGUGAGUCACGUUCAACUGGGAAAAACAAAGUGAACUGGGUCACAUUACACUUUGUGACCCAGUUCACACAUCAUAACACGUUUCUCUGAGAUGAAUCACCACCAAAACUGUCAGGCUCCAGUUCCGACAAAACAGGCUCAUACUGGCCUGGAUGUUCGCCACACCUUAAUUUAGUUGUGAACCAGUCGGAGCCGACAACCUGCUGCGUCACAAACUCGAAGUGAAUAAAUAAGGGCUGCUCCCUAAAAGUUCUCAUCAGGACUCAGACACUUUUCACUGUCGAACACUCAGAAUCACUGACAUCAACAUGGACGCCCCAGCCAGAGCCGCCGCAGCCACCGCAGCCGCCGCCAAAGCCGCCGCCGAAGCCACCGCCGCCGCAGCUGCCAAAGCAGCAGCCGCCACCAAAGCUGCCGCGGCCCAUUAAGGAUCGUGGUCGUCUUGAUGUGGGAUCAUGUGAACAUUUGAGCAGCGAGAUGUUACCAAUCUGCUGAAUAAACCUGAGAAGCUGUUUUUUGAAAA